GAAACAGCUGCUUGCUUUGCAGAUACUUUCCCCUGGGUUUCCAGGUUCAUUAACUUUCCUGCAUUCCGGAGGAGGAGGUAUUGAUGGAUUCGGGGUCCCCUUAGAUCAUUAAUGAGAGUUCGGAAUCAUCAUUUGGGGUCUUGGGGAAAUGUUCCAGGUCCCUAAGAGUUGCCUGGUGUUAGGGAAUCAGCCUUGGAAGCUGGUUUUCCAGGUCUUGGUUGUCUGGGCACAGCGGAGGCGGCCGUAUCAAAGCCACUGUGUGGAGGAGACACAUUGAGCCAAUGAUCAGCCAGUAAUUCUCAGCCUUGGGGGAGCCUGGUGGGGCCGCCAUACACUGUGAUAGCGUUGCUUGGUUUAAAGGUUCCUCUAACUUUGCGCACUUUUUCCUUUUUAGUUUUGGCUCUUGGGACUCUGAGAGCCACCCCUUCCUGCCCGGCUGGCUCGUUACCGCAGGGAAAAUGAGGGACUUUUGGGGGCAGAUGUGUUUCCAUUCCACUAUCAUAAUGCCCCUAAAAAUCCUUAUUGCUCUUGCAGUAUUCUUCGGGGGUCCCUGGGCCAGCCGGGCGCGUGGGGAAGACGGCAGCUCUGAGUGCCUCCAGCAACUAGAAGAAGAGAGAAAGAAGUUCCCCCACAUUCUCCCUUCUGGUCCCUGGUCCAUCUCCCCUCAGAGCUCAGAACUGUUCACUGCCCGAAAAGUAAAAAGACACCAUCCACAGACACUGGUGGCUCAACGUGCCUUUUGCCCUCCGGGGGCAGAAUGUUGGAGAUCAGGCCUGGGAACAGCAGGGCAGCUGUGGCUGCUGUCAGCGUUUGCUCUGGGGGUUUGUCAGGGGAGGUGGGGAAAGUGGAAGAGAAACAAGUGUUACCUGUUUGACGAGGCAGGCGUAUUUCACCGUUCAGCCUGGUCCUUCCAGUGGGGCCUCUGGGAUCCUCACCUUGGCAGGGGGCCCUGGGCAGUCCUGGCUUGCUCACCUGCUCCUGAGACAGGCCACUUUCCCACUCUCUGCCUCGGUUUCCCUGUCUGCCAAGGGAGGGGCAGCACCCCAUGCUCUUGGCCUCAAAGGGUUCUUGGUUGUACCCAACAUUAUAAUGAGCUCAAGUGAUACGCAAGCUCCGAAGCUGCUUGGAAAAUGGGGAAGUCAAGUUAUUAAACAUGGGAGGUGUUGGUGCUAAUGUUUACUAAUACACACCUAACGUGCUGAGACAGUUCAGACAGGAGGGGAGACUGUCGCCCAACAGUGUAAGCACCGGUUUCUGGAAUCAGCCAGUCAGAACUCUGAGACUCUUUUGCUGUGUCACCCCAGGCAAGUGACUCAACCUCUCUGGGCCUCCAUUUCCUCACACAUGAAACCCACGUUUUGGAACAGAAGUUUGCCAAGUCUGAUAUGCACAUCUACUCAAUGAGUUUAAGUGGUACCUGGCUAAAGAUGGAAAUUAUUCUCAUAGGUAUUUCUUUGUACAGCUUAUCUCUAUUUAUGGCAAGCAGUUUGUUUUCGGUUUAGGGUAGGGAUAGAAAGGCCUUUUUUUAUACCAAUUUAUGCAGGUAAAGAUAGAUGAGUUGCUGGAAAGAAAAGCAUUAAGCAAAUAAUAAUACAGGUGGCCUGAGGAUGGGGCAGAAAUCAAGAUGCCAGUUUGCAAAGUUUCAUACGUCGGCUUACUUAAGAAUUCUUGUUUGUCUUGGGAGUUUUGCAUCCACAUAGUUGGUGUGGGGAGGAGAUGGGUGGGUUGCUAAUUCAAAUCUCUGGAGGGCUCCACCAUGAUAGUCUGAGUGUCACAAGUCUUCCCUUCUCGGGGGGAUGGGAGGGGGCCCACCUCUCUGCUCACCGAUGCCAGGGAGACCCCUCAGACCUCCAGCCCUGCACUGACCCCUAGCUUUGACUUGUCUCAUUUUAGGAUCACGAUGACCCAGUGCCCUCCUUCCUGGCCAGGGCACCUCUCUGGGCCUCAGUUUUCUCAGUGAAAUGGGGAGAAUAACAAACUCUGUCCCAUAGCUGUGUGUGAAGAUGGAAGGGUUAACAGGGCUCCAUCGGGCGCUGAUCCUUCACAAACAGCACCCACUCGGAGGGCAGUGGGCCCCAGCGGCGCUGGACACGCGGGGGGCGCUCCUUCCACAGGCCACCCUGCGCCACCCGGCACCAGCUCCCUGCCCACCCCCUGGGAGGGUGGCUUUGCAGGGAAACAGCAGGCAGCCAGCAGGGGCGGACUCUGGUUUCACUUUCUGCUGUGUCAUGGAGUCGGGGGUGGCAUCGGGGCCCAGCUGGCCAGCUGGGGCGGGCACCGAGAGGCCAGCGGACAGCUGCCGGCCCAGCUGCCAGAGCACAAGCCGCGCCCCCCUGCGGCCUGCCAGGGUGGGGGCUGGGUCCUCGGGUGCCCCUUAAGGGCCUCUCCUCCCACACGGUGGGGAGAACCCCAGGCGAGAAAAGCCAGGAGCGGGUGAGAUCGUUUCUUGAGCUGUGGGAUCCCCCAAAAGCAACUUCUCAAGUCACGCAGCCUUGAAGUUCUGAGAAGUGCAGCUGUGGGUUCUGGAUCAGGGUGUGCUGGCUGGACACCUGCUCCCUGCCUCCCUUCACUGGGCACAUGGUGGGUGAGGGCCUACUGUGUGCUAAGCAGUGUGCCAGGUGCCGGGGGUACAACAGGGAGCAGGACAGCCCCUGCCCUCAUGGGGCUCCCAGUUAAGUCUGGGAGAUGGACAAAAGAGCGAGCAAGAGAGAAUCCCGCGUUAUGGGGGAAAUUCCAGCCUGAACGUCUGGUGCUAGCAUCUCAGGGCAGGGGCGUGCCUGCGUAUGCACCUAUGUGUGUCAGCAACGUGUCACCUCCUGGGACACAACGUUUCCCCGUCUGUAGGUGCAAGAAUGAGAGUAUUUACAUGGUAGCGCUGCGGCGAGGAUGAAAUAAACGAGCGUCCGUAGAGAAUGGAGGACAGCGCCUGGCAUCGACCGUGUGCUGUCCACAGGUCUGAGUAAAUCCUGCUCGCAGCUUCCGGGUUUGUAGACAGCCAGCGUGGAUCUCAAAGCAAAGGCCCAAUUUACGACUGAGGUCGGUCUCAGCAGUGAGCUUAGAAGCAGCAAAGCCAGGAGAAGGCUCCAGAGGAGCGACUGCCCAGUGUUCUUCCAAAAGGUUGUAUCAUUCACACGCCCAUCAACGGUGUACGUGCUGUUUCCAGCACCCUCGCCCAACCUGGCAAAGACGCGGUGUGUCAGGGGAAGCAAAUCCUAAAUGAGGCUGACACCUCGGGUGCCAAGUUUCUAGGGGAAACGAAAUUCUCCUCUGAGAUUAUAAACCACUAGAGAGAAGAUGGAAAUGGAAAAGCCACCGCGAGUCAGCUUCACACAUCCAGAACUGGGCUGCUAAGAGCUGUCUCUUUCUGUCUUAGCUGCGGAGAAACCUGCCAGUAAUUUCAGCAAAUGAAACGUGGGCCGCAGAAAGGCCAGAGGAUGGAAGAUGCUCCGGUUUUGACAAAAGGAGGUCUGCUCAGCUUGGAAUCCUCUCUCCUGUGAGUCAGGAGAUGGAAAGCUAUAUCCAGAGGGGCUGAUGAAUUGAGAGAAAAAAGAAACGAGGCCAGUCCCCUGACUCAGCAGUGACACAUGAAUGAUGCUCCAUAAGUAGUCAUCCCAUGGACCAACCAAUGCCACCGUCACCUCCGACCCGGCCUCCUGCCGAAAUCACAGAAACCCUUUAUAGCCACCCUGACACCCAGUUCCCAUUUCAGACAGGCUGGUAUCCAUGAUGUCACGUGAUAGAAGAUGAUUCCAGAAAAAGACUGGCCAAGAGGCUCCUGGAGGGAGAGAUGGCAGCCAGGAUUGGGAGGUUUUUUUCUUUAUUAUACCUGUUCUGUCCACUAUUUCCUGGCUCUGUUCACAUCGCUGCUCCAGCACCAGCUCAGGGAAAAAAACGAAACAAAACAUGAGCCCCAGAAUUUGAGACAAGAUAGCUGGCUGGUUUCCUCUCUGCUUGUAAUUAAUGCUGGAAAUGUUCAUGACUUGCCUUGGCCGCAAAGGUAAUAAUAAAAGUCUGCAGCCUGAUUAUUUGGCUACUAAUUCCCUUCUUGGUGUUUUUCUUCCCCUUUCCUUAAAUUACUUCCAGAGUUCGUCC
rnacentral:lncRNA from 1 species